rnacentral:rRNA from 1 species
AUUGAACGCUGGCGGCAGGCCUAACACAUGCAAGUCGAGCGGAUGAGUGGAGCUUGCUCCAUGAUUCAGCGGCGGACGGGUGAGUAAUGCCUAGGAAUCUGCCUGGUAGGGGGGGACAACGUUUCGAAAGGAACGCUAAUACCGCAUACGUCCUACGGGAGAAAGUGGGGGAUCUUCGGACCUCACGCUAUCAGAUGAGCCUAGGUCGGAUUAGCUAGUUGGUGAGGUAAAGGCUCACCAAGGCGACGAUCCGUAACUGGUCUGAGAGGAUGAUCAGUCACACUGGAACUGAGACACGGUCCAGACUCCUACGGGAGGCAGCAGUGGGGAAUAUUGGACAAUGGGCGAAAGCCUGAUCCAGCCAUGCCGCGUGUGUGAAGAAGGUCUUCGGAUUGUAAAGCACUUUAAGUUGGGAGGAAGGGCAGUAAGUUAAUACCUUGCUGUUUUGACGUUAUCAACAGAAUAAGCACCGGCUAACUUCGUGCCAGCCGCCGCGGUAACAC